UUGGAACCUCAUAAAAUACUCUAGGCCAGACCAUUUGCUGUUGUAAACAGGCAAUGGAACUACAUAAAUUCACAUCAACUAAGAAUCUGGUCCUCUUCCCUUUUCAGAUCGUUCUACCAGACGCAUCAUAACCUCUUGGAUGGACUAGAUUGGAAAGAUGUUUCUUAAAUUUAUGAAGAGGCUUCUUCCAGACGUCCUCAGCAGCUGAAGGGAAACACUGAAUGCUGAAAUCUGGUCUUGGGCUUAUCAUCAACAACAGGAUGUGAAAAAUUAUGUAUGAAAAGUACAAGGACAGCAUGCUUUCCAAUGCUUGGCAUGGGCGGAGGAAGGGAAGAGACUUACCAGGGGCAAUGGGGCAAAAGAAAAUCCCCAUGUGUGUGUAGAGAAAGAAACAUCUUCACUUGCCCCAUUGUGUUGCAGUAUUGCCAACUCCAAUUGUUUGCAAGUCAAGUCCCAGCAAAUCAUGAAACUAUCGACAAAAAUAAUGAGAUUUACAAAAUAAUAGCUCUUGGGUUCUUUUCACUUUGCCUCUUGGCUGGGGCUGGAGCCUUUUGGGUUCCCAGUCAAGCUUUUCUCUGCACCAUGAGAGCUGGCAGCUUGCUGGCUUUUAAAGAAAGCUGUGACCUGAUUGCAGCAGCUGGGGCUCUCAGGAAAGCACCCGCUGUGGGGUGAGCUGGCAGUA